rnacentral:rRNA from 1 species
CACUCCUUGACAUGGAAAUUAUACCUAUUCGAAGGGAUAGGGUCGGUUCGGCCGGGUUUCACACAGGUGUUGCAUGGCUGUCGUCAGCUCGUGUCGUGAGAUGUUGGGUUAAGUCCCGCAACGAGCGCAACCCUCAUCCUUAGUUACCAUCAGGUAAUGCUGGGGACUUUAAGGAAACUGCCAGUGAUAAACUGGAGGAAGGUGGGGAUGAUGUCAAGUCAUCAUGGCCCUUAUGGAGUGGGCUACACACGUGCUACAAUGGUGGCUACAAUGGGCUGCAAAGUCGCGAGGCUAAGCCAAUCCCUUAAAAGCCAUCUCAGUUCGGAUUGUACUCUGCAACUCGAGUGCAUGAAGUUGGAAUCGCUAGUAAUCGUGGAUCAGCACGCCANCGGUGAAUA